rnacentral:lncRNA from 7 species
AAAGAAUACACCCAAGUUUGACACUGCACCAGAAGCCUUAAGAGCAAACACCUGCCCAUCAGCCAUUAUAUUCCACUGUUUUAGACUUACAACAAUCCUGUAUUUUAAUCCCUUUUUAUCCUGCUAAUAGCUUUUCAAAAUGAAAACAGUGCGUUCUAAAACAAGAAUCUCUGUUUGAGCAGAUUAAAGAUGAAGUCCCUAAGAAAACAUGUAGGGGAUUCAUUCUUCAGUGUAGAUACUAUUUUGUUAUUCAGAUAAACUAGGAGGGGAGGAAAAGGAAAAGGAGGGUUUUUUUAUUCGUAAAGAAACAAAUGGUGACACUAGUACAGGUAACAGACUCUGGACAUUAAAUGAGGUUGGCACUGAAGAACAGCAAAAUUUGCCUCCAAAAUAGGAUUUUUACAUUUAAUUUCCCUUGUACUGAAUCUUUUCUGUGCAUUUCAUUAAGUAAAAAGUGUUGUCAUUCACAGGUAAAUCACUAAAUGAAGUGGAAUGACUAGAAAUGUUAUUCAUUCAUUGCUUAAGAGUCACUUAACAAAUAGAUUUACCUUAACCUCUAUCAGAAAAUUCAGAACUUUUUCAUAGAAUUAGUUCUACUGAAAGGAACACUUCACUUAUCCCUUUCAUUUUUCACUAUAAUCUCUCAAAGGAAUAAAGUCUCAUUCAAUGUCAGUGUAAAAUAUCCUUUGCCUGGAGAAAUUUGCUCUGGGUACAGUAUUGCAAAGCCCAAAAAUUGGAUUGUUUCCGAUCAUGUUGAUCAAAACAAAGAUUGCAGGUGAAAAAAUACAUUUCAAUAAUGAAUGUCCACAGGCAUCAAGAAGAUAUGAAGUUAGGAUGAGGAAGAGCAAGAAAAUACAGAAGUUUUGCUGAAGUAGUUUAUCUUCCACUGAUACUUUCAUUUCUUACACAGCAAGUACAGUUGUGAUUCUGAUGCCUAUACGAAACUGAUACCAUCUAUGACUCAAGAGCUCUAAUGAGUGACUCAUCAAUGCUGAGAAUAGCUACCAGAGGGUCACUCUGGGACUGGAAGGUUCCUUUCAGUAAACAGAAAGUGCAUCAGUUCCUGCCUGACAGUAAAAUACUUUCAAACGCUACAGGGAACUUAAAACAUCAUUUUUACAUUACAUGACUUAAAUACUGUUAUAAAAUAAUAACAGUGAACACACAAAUAAUAAAACCAGUAAACCUUUAACCAAACUGUUACAGAAAUAAUAGGAAAAUGAGGGCUGUUAGUUUAGAUUUUGUUUUUAAAAAUAAAUUCCUUGCACUGAUGACACUGUAAUUUAGAUCUACUGCAAAUUUUAUCAUUUGUCAUCUUACUCACUGAAAUACUGUCUUUUACAGCUAGCAGAACACCCUUCGGCUUCUGCACAUAUAUUUAUUUAAUAUAUUCACACAUUAACAUGAUUUCUAGUAUAGGUCACCUAAUCAAAAUGUAGAGACAAGUGAAUGCCAUGGGCUAUGGACUUGGAAAUCAGUAAGGAAGAAGUUAAAAUUCUUUGUGCAAAAGGGAAGGGAGAAUACUGAAUACAUUUUCUCUGGAGAUGCUUGGGAUCAGAUAACAGAGGAAACAAAGUUCUGAGUGCAAUGGAUCCUGAGCUUUAGUGGAGUUAAGAACGGAGCAAAUACUGCGCAUCACUUUCAGACCUCUGCAGGUAGCGAGGAACAUCACCAGCUGGUGAAGCAAGGAAACAGCUUGGAAACUCAAACUAACUUCAUCUGCAGGAGCUUAGUGAUAAAGUGGCCAGUGAUACAUAAGAAAAGGAUCUGUCUUUUGAAUUUAUGAGAGACUAUUCACCUCCAAGCCAAGGUUGAGGAGAUGUGAGUCCUUAAGGAGGGGAUCAUAAGAGGAUCAUAAAAGACCUUCAGGCUGCUCUGGACCACAAGAAUUAUCUCUUCUUUGGCAUGACCGGGACUGAGGAAUAUCCAGCAUAUAUGUGAGAGCAGAGGAGGUACUCUUCCUCCUGCAGAUAAAAGUAGCAGAGCAGCAAGAAGGUGAAAAAAAGAAGCAGACCUAGUACAAAAAAUCCCACUACUCCAUAAGUGCCAAGUACACGUUCCUACCCCUGCAACCCUCCUCUCUAAAAUCUUAAUUUAUCCUCUUCCACAUGAGACCUCAGGACAACUGUAAUUCAAGAAAUGAGGGAUGCAAAAAAUGCCUAAAUCCAGGUUUCUUUUUUGUUUUCUGCUCACCAAACAGGGAACAAGCACAUCCCCAGAUCUAGCUGCAUGAUGGCUGUGCAUGAGCAUUGUUAAUCCAGUGGAGUCACUUAGAGUGCAUUACCCUUGAACAAUGUACUGUUUUGAUUCAAUGGAAAAAUAAAGUUUGAGUUAUC